rnacentral:lncRNA from 1 species
UUCUUAAAGAUAUUGAGACUAACAGUCUGAGGUACAAAUGUAUUGUGAUCUUUAUCCUUCUUUUGCUGCUCAUAAUUGGUGGCACAAUCUUCCUAGCUAUUGUUGAGAAAUUGAGCCUUGUGGAUGCAUUCUAUUGCGUUUGUUGUACCUGUUAGAUGAAGUCUGUUGAAAAGAUUAUGAGAAGAUUAUUCUAAUGGCUUAUUCUAAUGGGAGCCAUUUUCUUCUGUCGAAGAUGCUCCACUCACAGUGCAUCGUGGACAGCAAGGGUCUUCACAUGGACUGCAGCAUUGUGGACAGCAAAGAUGCCUCUUCCAAUAUAUUUCUUUAUUGCAUGCGUGUGUAAUAUGAUGUAUAUAAAUAUCUGCUGCUAUUGCAGCAGGUGGUGUGAGAGAAAAUAUUCAAUCCAUUUUUAAUAUGGUUUCUAGAGCUUUUUUUGUCUAACGACAACGAUCCUAGUUUCCUAUCCUUCCCAUCCUCGCUUCCAUGGCUGAAAACAAUGUUCCCGCUAGUUCCUCCACCCUCCCAAACAACUCUUUUCAUCCGUUUUCCACUGUUGUUAAUAUCAAACUUGAUAGAACCAACUACCCACUGUGGUUGGCUCAAAUACUCCCUAUCCUAAAAAGUAGGGACCUGAUGGGAUAUGUUGAUGGCACGCUGGUGUGUCCUCCAAAGAAUGUGACUGGUGCAACCACUCUGAACCCAUCGUACACUGCCUGGGUACAACAGGAUCAAAUGAUCCUCAGUUGGAUAAAUGGUUCUCUAACUGCCUCUGUCUUGUUUGUGAUGGCAAGCAAACGAACUGCUCGAGCAACCUGGGAAGCUCUUGAGCAAAGGUAUGCCUCUACUUCUCAAAAUAGAAUUUUGUUUUUGAGAAAUGAGUUGUUGCAGACCAAGAAAGGUGAUCUAUCUGUGGCGGAUUACCUGGAUCGCAUGAAUGCGAUAGCUGAUAACCUUGCCCUAGCUGGGCAUCCUGUGAGUGAUGAUGAGCUCGUGCAGAUUGUGUUGAACAAUCUUGGACCGGCCUUUGAGAUGACAGUAAGUGCUGCACAAGCUCGUGAUAAUCCUAUCACGUAUCCUACUCUUGAAGCACUCCUGCUCACAACCGAAAGAAGAAUGGCGGACCAAACUGUCCCUUUGGUGGAAGGUGCUACUGUCAAUGCCUUCAUUGCGUCUAGAGGUCGUGGUGGAGGCUGCUCUCGUGGAAAUGGACGAGGCACCUCUCCAUCCACCCGUGGUGCUCAAAGAAGCUACAACCCACGCAAUAAUAAUUAUCAGCGCAAUCCUUCAGGUAAUAUUGAAAGAUCGGCUUCAUAUGGUGAUCGCAUUGUUUGCCAAAUCUGCGGCAAACCUAGACAUCCCGCUCUUGACUGCUACCACCGCAUGAAUACUGCUUUUGAAGGCCGAAUCCCUGCCCAACGUCUCUCGGCAAUGACGUCCUCCACCAUCCCCAUCAACAAGCAGCAAAAUGGAACUUGGCUCCUGGACAUAGGUGCCAACGCACAUAUUACUCCAGACCUUCAGAAUUUGGUAAAUCCUAAAGACUAUACUGGUAAAGAUGGUGUGGGAGGUAUAGGUAAUACUUCUGGAAUUUCUAUUGCACAUUGUGGUUCAACUCAACUUAAUACUACUGCUUGCUCAUUUGCUUUACAAGAUAUCCUUCAUUGCCCUACUGCUUCUACCAAUAUCAUCUCCGCCCAUAGGUUCACCUUAGACAAUGACUGUUAUUUACUAAUCUUUCCACAUUUUUUCCUUGUUAAGGACCUCAAGACACGGAAGACGCUUUUCCGAGGGAGAUGUGAGAAUGGGUUAUACCCAUUUCCAAAUGGCAGUGGUCAACUCAAGUAUCCAGUUUCUGCGUUUGUGGGCGUUAGGGUGUCUGUUCAAAAGUGGCAUGCUCGUCUUGGUCACCCUGCCAAACCAAUAAUCAAGUUUUUAAUUUCAAAUAAAUUUGUACCAAUUCAUGGUACAUCUAAUGUCAUCUUUUGUGAGUCAUGUCCUUUAGGAAAGAGUACUAGGUUACCUUUCAGUAAGUCUGAGUCUGUCUCUCAAUUUCCUUUGCAACUUUUACAUUCUGAUGUGUGGUGUUCUCCAAUUAUUUCUAAUGAAGGUUUUCGUUAUUACCUGUUGUUUGUGGAUGAUUAUUCCCGAUAUUCUUGGAUCUUUCCCAUGAAACAAAAAUCUGAAGUUUUUGACAUAUUUGUAAAGUUUAAAGUUAAGGUUGAAAAGAUGUUUAAUUGUUCAAUUAAAACCCUUCAAUGUGAUGAAGGUGGUGAAUAUAAAAGUCAUGCCUUUCAAAAUUUUCUUGGCGUUCAUGGAAUUUCUCAACGUUUUUCUUGUCCAAAACAUCCUGAACAAAAUGGAUUGGCAUAACGGAAACACCGACACAUUGUCGAAACCAGUAUUGUUAUGCUUUCUCAAUCUCAUAUGCCUAAUAAGUUUUGGUUUGAUGCAUGCUUAACUGCUACAUACUUGAUAAACCGUCUGCCAACUCGUGUACUAUCAAACAUAUCUCCUUUUGAGAAAUUGUUUCAAAGAAAACCAAAUUAUGCCAUGUUAAAAGUUUUUGGUUGUCGUUGUUUUCCUUGGUUAACACCAUAUAAUCAAAAUAAAUUACAACAAAAAUCCAAGUCAUGUGUCUUUCUUGGGUAUUCUCUUGAUCAUCAAGGAUACAAAUGUUUGGAUCUGUCCACAAGACGAGUUUACUUGUCUCGCCAUGUCCUAUUCAAUGAGGAUUUUUUCCCUUUUAAGGGACUCACAUCUCCUCCUGAAAGCGUUGCAUCACAAGGUAACAAUCUUUUACCCCAAUUAUUAUUUACUUUUCCCUUAACCACAACUGUUCCCGUGUGUCCUACUACACCCAAUACCCAUAGUGCCCAGUCCUCUCUUGAUACUUCCAUCACGCCACAUAUCUCUUCCUCUCCUGAUCUAACAUCUCCACCCCCAAUACCAUUACCAUCUAACCAUUCCUUAGGACCCACACUACAAUCACAUGAGCAAGUGUUAGUCAAUUCACAAUCUUUGCCAGCUAAUGUGUCUAGUGAUACUGGCCACUCUAUGACUACACGUUCCAAGUCUGGAGUUGUCAAACCAAAUCCAAAGUAUGCUAUGCAUGUUACCAUUAAAGAUAUUCCUGUUGAACCAACUUGCUUCAGUCAGGCAGUCAAGCUGUUGGAAAUGUGCCCUAAAGCCAAUCAUAUGAUGAUACUUUACGGACAUUUACAUGUUAAACUAAUCUAGUUUAACUAUAAAGGGCAAAGAUUAUUGUUUGAGCCGUCUCAUAUAAACGUUAUAUGCUUAAACGAUAAAAUCCAAGGAAUAUGUGAUUGGGAGAAUGUAAUCUAAUGAAGUUAGAAUCAUGAGACCAUUCUUUCGUAGACACAUCCUAAAUGUUCCUGAUCAUAGGAUUGCCAAUUGGGCAUUGACAGUCCGUCAAGAUCGGUACGUGCUAUGUCUUCUCUCAGGAGAGUGACUAGUCUCGAGUCAUUUGUGUGUGUGACAUCAAGACAAGUACGUAGGUGCUCAGUAGAGAAUGAGUUCACUGAACGCGAUCAACGAAGAGUUCUCAUACUCAUGUCACAUGAGAACUCAUGGUUGGGAUAAUGCAAAGUAGUCCUUUGACCUGAGGCAUCACAGUUGUCUUGUGGUUAAGUCCUUGAUCUUUGAUUAUGUCAAACGUCAUUCCAUUGGAGUGUCCACGGCAUCGUUGGGGUUAAGCCACUUAGUCAUGGAGGCAAGUGAAUGCGCAACAAGGGAUCUCUAACCUUCAAACUGUUUGAGGGAGAAUACUCUAUGAUAUGAUUUAGAAUCUCUGACCAGAGUAUGAAUGAGAUUUAGGAAUGCGUUCCAAAUCACAUUCAAAGAAAUCAUAUAAGCACACGAAUCACAUUGGAUAGUAGACAUGAAUAAAUAAACUAUCAAACCAAAUAAUGUGGUCAAGAGUAUUGUAUUAGAGAAAGACCGUAUUGCAUUUGUAAUCCCAAACUGAAUAGGUUUUCUCUACCUCUUCUGAUUAGCUUGGGUAAUCAUGAUAUGCUGCAAGGUGUCACUCAUGGUUUGUGGAAGCCCUAAACGUGUAUAAUCACUAAAGGGAGAAUUGAAAGUAAGUUUCAAUUCACAAUCGAUUUGAAAUGGUUUAAUCGCCCACUGCCUCGCUAAAAGGAACCUAAUGGAUCGCACACCAUAAGAGGUGGAGAUUGGAGAUUAAACGGAGAUGAGUAAGAAUGAUUAAAUGGUUUAAUCAUUUAUUUAUGGCAAGGAUUAAUUAAUAUGUUAAUUAAUCAAACGAAUAAGUUCGUUAAAGACCUCAGGAUAGGUUUUGGACAUUAAGGCCCAAUGGGCUUCGAACGUCAAGCCCAUUGACUUAAGUUGUAUGACAACUUAAUGAAUAAUGAUUCACUAAGACCCAAAAGCCCAAACAACACCCCAUGGCCGGCCAUUUAGAGGAAGGGUAGUGAACUUGCUUUAAUUACAAGUUUGCCACUCAAAUGAAUAAAGGUAUAAAUAUGACUUUAUAGCCAAAAUUCAUUUAGGGUUUCUUUUAGAGAAAAUUGGUGAGAACUUGUCUCUCCAUUUUCUCUCUAGGAGGCCGGCCCCUUGGGGGUGCAUCUUGCAAUCCCACUACUCCAAGGUCACUCAUUUCUUCUCCAAUCUCUCCUUGGUGAAGAGACUUAGAGGUUCCCUACUUUGGGAACUUGGAGAAACCUAUUCUUCCAUCCAAAAAUAUAGAUUUAAGAUGCAAGGAAUGAAGGCCCUCUCUUUGGGUGAUUAGCCUUUGCUUAUGCAAAGAGGAAUCUACAAAGGUAUAAAUCUCAACUCACUUUGUUUUGAGUUGAUUAAUGAUUCACCAAUCUACUAGGCUUUGAAUUUCUUGGUUAAUGUUUUGUUUUUAAGUGCAUGCUAGCAUGAUUCCGCCUUUAAUUGUUAAUUGCAUGCUAUAUGAUGUUGCUUAAAUGAACAUGUUUUCACAAAAUCUUCCUUCACAAGCAUCAUGAGUGGAGGGAAGCUAUGGUGCAAGAAUUUAAUGCAUUACAAAGGUGUGGCACGUGGAGUUUAGUUCCACAUCAAUCUGACAUGAACGUACUGCCAAAUAAAUGGGUGUUCAAAAUUAAGCGCAAAGCAGAUGGCACUGUUGAGCGUCAUAAAGCUCGGUUAGUGGCUAAUGGUUUUCAUCAGAAGGCUGGCGUGGAUUACACUGAGACUUUCAGUCCUGUGGUUAAACACAGCACCAUUCGUUUUGUCUUAAGUCUUGCUGUGUCAAAGAAGUGGCCUGUACGCCAACUGGAUGUAUCAAAUGCGUUCUUGCAUGGCUACUUAAAUGAACAUGUUUACAUGCGGCAACCAUCAGGGUUCAUUGACAAACAGUUUCCAAAUCAUGUUUGUCAGCUGCAACGUUCUAUUUAUGGUUUAAAACAAGCACCUAGGGCUUGGUUCCAACGCUUCUCAGAUUUCUUGCUUCAACUGGGCUUUGAGGAGUCCACAUGUGAUUACAGUUUGUUUGUGUUUAAUCAACGGGGUGUAUAUCUCAUUCUUUUAAUCUAUGUCGAUGACAUUCUCCUCACAGGGAAUAGUCCUCGCCAGAUGGAUCAUUUGAUUAAGAAACUUGGUAGUUUGUUUUCAAUGAAGGAUUUGGGACCACUAAGUUAUUUCCUGGGUAUUGAGGUCAAGUAUAAUGGUGAUUUCAUGCAUCUCUGUCAGUCCAAAUAUGCUUUGGACCUACUAACUCGAACUAAAUUCACAGACGCAAAGCCCAUUUCCACUCCAGUGCCGUCUGGUCAGAAGUUGAGUGCCUAUGCUGGAGAUCUUUUUGCCAAUCCAGAGAUGUAUCGUAGUGUUGUUGGGGCACUACAGUAUCUUACGAUAACUCGGCCUGAUUUAUCAUACGCUGUGAAUCAAGUGUGCCAGUUCAUGCACUCUCCAAAAACAACGCACUGGAUGGCUGUAAAGAGAAUCCUACGGUAUCUGAAGGCUACGUAUAAUCAUGGGCUAUUGUAUAAACCAGGAACUGCGAAGUUGACAGCUUUUUCUGAUGCAGAUUAUGCUGGCAACCCCGAUACUCGUCACUCCACAGGUGGUUUCUGUGUUUAUUUGGGUUCCAACCUUGUAUCCUGGAGUUCAAAAAAGCAAAAGACAGUAUCGAGGUCGAGUGCAGAGGCAGAGUAUAGGCAGUUAGCUUAUACUGCAGCAGAGUUAUCAUGGUUAAGGUCUCUUUAUAAAGAUCUCCAUCUCCAUCUGGUUCAACCAACCAUUUGGUGUGACAAUGUUUCUUCAAUUGCCCUUGCGUCCAAUCCGGUUUUUCAUUCGAGAACAAAGCAUCUUGAGGUUGACUAUCAUUAUGUUCGUGAGAAGGUUGUUCGUGGUCAGUUGUUGGUCAAUUAUGUGUGUUCCCAGGACCAACUUGCUGACAUUUUCACUAAAGGAUUGUCUUCGUCCAGAUUUCAGUUCCUUAUCUCCAAGCUCCUAGUUGUACCACCCCCUGUUAGCUUGCGGGGGGCUGUUAGAUGAAGUCUGUUGAAAGAUUAUGAGAAGAUUAUUCUAAUGGCUUAUUCUAAUGGGAGCCAUUUUCUUCUGUCGAAGAUGCUCCACUCACAGUGCAUCGUGGACAGCAAGGGUCUUCACAUGGACUGCAGCAUUGUGGACAGCAAAGAUGCCUCUUCCAAUAUAUUUCUUUAUUGCAUGCGUGUGUAAUAUGAUGUAUAUAAAUAUCUGCUGCUAUUGCAGCAGGUGGUGUGAGAGAAAAUAUUCAAUCCAUUUUUAAUAGUACCAUCACAACUCUGGGAUAUGGAGAUAAGAGCUUUUCGACUCAAGCAGGGCGUGUUUUUGCAGUAUUCUGGAUAUUGACAGGUACCAUUUGUUUAGCUCAGUUUUUCCUCUACAUUGCCGAGCUAAAUGCCCAGAGCAGACAACGGGCA